rnacentral:rRNA from 1 species
UACGUAGGGUGCAAGCGUUAAUCGGAAUUACUGGGCGUAAAGCGUGCGCAGGCGGUUGUGCAAGCCAGGUGUGAAAUCCCCGGGCUCAACCUGGGAACUGCAUUUGUGACUGCACGGCUGGAGUGCGGCAGAGGGGGAUGGAAUUCCGCGUGUAGCAGUGAAAUGCGUAGAUAUGCGGAGGAACACCGAUGGCGAAGGCAAUCCCCUGGGCCUGCACUGACGCUCAUGCACGAAAGCGUGGGGAGCAAACAGG